rnacentral:lncRNA from 1 species
GGAAAAGCUGCCCUUUCUCACCUUCCCACGUGGACCUCCAAAGGCCUCGGGUGGAUUCCACUGUGUGGUCGGCACAGUGUGUGGAAGAGUAACAGGAGUCAGCGACCCAUUAGCAAACGCAGGAAGAAGACGUCCUAUCUUCAGCUUUGCAGAUACGACUGUGAGCUCAGGGAAGAGUUCCCGUCCGCUGGCAGCUCUGUUCUCUCCCAGGCUCCUCACAGGAUAGAGCCGACUCUUAAGCACUGGGCCUCCCCUUUUCCCACAGUCAGUACCCUGUGAUGCUUGCAAAGUGAGGCAACCUACACACAAGUCCAGGAAGCCCCCAUCCGUCCUCCCAGCCACCCAGCCUCUG